rnacentral:rRNA from 1 species
GACAGAGGGUGCGAACGUUGUUCGGAAUUACUGGGCGUAAAGCGCAUGUAGGCGGCAGCGCAAGUCGGGCGUGAAAUCCCACGGCUCAACCGUGGAAGUGCACUCGAAACUGCGCAGCUAGAGUCCUGGAGAGGAAGGUGGAAUGCUUGGUGUAGAGGUGAAAUUCGUAGAGAUCAGGAAGAACACCAGUGGCGAAAGCGGCGACCUGGCCCGACAUUGACGCUCAUGCACGAGAGCGUGGGGAGCAAACAGG